ensembl:lncRNA
CACACACACACACACACACACGCACACACACACGUAGGCAAGUGACCAUCAAAGCAGACCUUGGGCUAACGUGUGUGUGCGUGUGUCUUCACAGUGAUCAUAGCAACGCUGAGUAAACAUGCUGACAUAUUAAACCUGGGUCACAUGACCUCUCCUCUGAUAAAAGGACCCUCAGCACCUCGGACAGCGCCGACUCCUUCACCCUCUGAACGGCCGGUUCUGAUGCUUCACUGGUCUGAGCUGCGUUAGUCCCACCGGCCCGUGAGGGCGUUUCUCUUCUUUACUUUCUGUGAAUGUCGUUUUGAGCAAAUGGCAGAUGUUUGUCGUGUCAGGAGGAGGCGUGAUCAUCUGCAGACGGGAGAGUCGAAGCAGGACGAUUCACGAACAAAUGAUUAAUGGUGUUUUCAUUCAGUCCCUGGAAUCGUAUUGAUCUGUUAUUGGUCUGGUCUGUUCCUCAAGCUUGAAGCUCUGACUUUUCUCUUCUAUUUUUAGACGUUUUAUAAAGUAAAGAAUGAAUCGAUAUGUACAGGAAAACAUCCGCAGAUGAAUUACUGAUUGAACGUAAACAUUCUUAUCAGAAUAUGUAACAUCACUAAACCUGCCCCCCCCUGAUCCCCCUUUGACUCAAAAAGUCAAAAGAUAUUAGGUCAAUAUUCAAAAUAUGUUUGUUAAAAAAGUCCAAAAAUAUUAUGUCAAAAUAUUUCAGGCCAAAAAAAGGUUCAAUGUUUUGAAAAAUAUAUAUAUAUAUAUAUAUAAAGUUGAAAAACUCAUAUCAAAUCAAAAUAUGUUAGGUCCAAACAUUCAGGGAAAGAAAAAUGUCAACAACAAGAAAUAUCGGGUCAAACUUUUCACCAAAAAAAAAGUUUAAAAAAUGUUCAUGAAAAUGAAGUCACUGAAAAAGUGUUUUGAUGUUUUGAGAAAAAGUCAAAAUAUGUUGUGUGGAAAAAAGUCUAAAAAUUAUGGAAAAUGGUCGGAAAAUAUUUUAGUUCAAAAGUCAAAAUAUCAUCGAAUAAUAUCAUGGAUCAAAAAAGUAAAAAAAUCUUAGGUCAAAAUAUGUUUUGAAAAAAACCUUCAGCCGUGAAUCAGAUACCUGACGAAUAAUCCUGAUUCCUCCUGUUGCUGCUGUCUCACUGACUCCGACUAGUGUUUCCAUGGCGAUGACGCUUCGCUGCGUCAUGAGUAAGCACCACGAGGUGUGUGUCUGUCUGUGUGUCUGUGCGUCUGUGUGUGUGUGUGUGUGUGUCUCACUUAGACGUGCUAAGAAUCCAAAGGUGAUGCUGCACUCCCAAGCGUCUUCUAACACACACACACACACACUAAUCACCCUGCCGCCUCACGUAGAUGUGAUAAUAGCUAAUUCAUCAUUGUGUAGGAAUAUUCCCUGCGUGUGUUUGUGCGUUUGUGUGUGUGUCUCUUUCCUUUAAUGUCAAGUCCAGCGAUGCAGAUCAGAGCAGACUUACAUUCACUGAUUAGACAAAGACACACACUCACCGACGACUCUCUCAAACCUCACAUGGAUGCAAACCACACACACACACACACACACACACACACACACACACAAUACAGCCUGAAACACAAAGACCUGCCCAAUUAAGAAGACUGAUGUAGCGCAACAAAUUCAAUUAUAUCUCAUUGUAUAAUUACAUGUGACUAAAUUAAAGGCAGGAAGGAUGGAAGGAAGGAAGGAAGGAGGAGAAGGUCUCAACCUGAACAUCAUAGCGUGAUGGAGGGAGAGGAGAGGAGAGGAGGUUCAAACCAGACCGACGAGGCUGAAAGGGAGGAGCGGCACGCGAGAAUCCUCCACCGUUACUGAGUGAGGGAUGAAGGAGAGAAGGUGGAGGAAGGAACAGAGGGUUUAUGGAGGCGAUGAAGGGUGGACGGACGGAGGGGACGACGGUGGAGAUAAACGAGAAGACCGAGAGGUGGAAUAGAACGUCUGCUGAGAGCAUGCCAGAGAGGAUUAUGGGAAGGAAGGAGAAUUAAAGAAAAAAUGAAUAAACCUGAAGAGAAGGAUGAAGAGGAACAGAGGAAGAGGAGGGAUUAGGGGGGGGGGGGUGCUCCCCCAGGAUGGGUUGUAGCACCGGGAGUUGAGAUAUUUUCAGUUCAGCCAGCGGUCUCCUCUCCUCGCUGUUGGUUCUAUCUUUAGAGCGUUACACAACAAAGGUUCUCAUCACCGGCCAACAUGGUUCCACUCAGCAAAUGAAGAUAAUGGAAGGUGAUGAAGAUGAUGGAAGGUGAUGAAGAUGAUGGAAGGUGAUGAAGAUGAUGGAAGAUAAUGGAAGGUGAUGAAGAUAAUGGAAGGUGAUGAAGAUGAUGGUAGGGGAUGAAGAUGAUGGUAGAUAAUGGAAGGUGAUGAAGAAAAUGGAAGGUGAUGAAGAUGAUGGUAGGGGAUGCCUGAGAAUCAGAAGUGUUCAGAAGGUCAAUUGGAGACUUUUCGUAUUGCUUUUGUCAAAUAGCUGCAGAUGUUGCAGAUGUUGUGCAUCUGGAUGGAGGUCAAGAAAACCCAGAUGAAAGGAGGUGGAGCGAAAUAUUUAAGAACUGUAACAGAGAAGAUUUGGGGGUGGGGGGGUGGAGGCUGAUGGAGGGCAGGAGUGAUGGAGCGAGAACAGCUGGAGGGCAGAGAGCGUGAUGGAGGGAGCUUAAAGAGAGGGAGAAAUGGAUGGAUGAAGUAACGAGGAGAGGGGAGGCACAUAGAGAGAGAACUUUCUCCCAUUGGAGACUGAGCUGCAACUGAGCUUUAAUGCUUAAUGUAACAUGUUCAUGUGGUCAUAUGUUCAUGGUUCAUAUGUUCAUGUUUCAUGUGUUCAUAUGUUCAUGUUAUCUGUGUUCAUUUU